rnacentral:rRNA from 1 species
ACUUGCAAAGUAUGUCGGGCUAAGGAGGAGGAUCUCAUGCAUGCUAUUAUUCAAUGCUCCCAUGCACGUCGCUUCUGGGAUGAAGCUUGUGCGUGGUUUGGUUUGCGGCUUCCUCGCUUACACCCACGUUCUUGGGCCAGAGAUAUUCUAUGUGGAGACCGCUUCAAGGAUGAAGAUCGAGCAAAGGUAAUCACCAUCAUGUGGACGAUCUGGCAUUCUCGUAAUCGGAUCAAGCAUGGUGAAGAGGGGAGGGACCCAACAGCCGCUAUCAGGUCGACUUGGGAGGCCCUUGCGUUGCUGGAGCUGCCCCGAAAUUCAACCAUUGUACUACCAGGUCAUGGCUGGCGGCCGCCUGAGCCAGGUAUGAUCAAGAUCACGACGGAUGGUGCACUUAACGUUGCGGAAGGUAGAGGAGGUCCGGGUGGCAUAGCCCGUUCCGCGUCCGCGUUGAUGGGAGCAUGGUGCAAACCAUUCGGUGAUAUCUCGGAUCCAUUGAUAAUGGAAGCUUUAUCGAUGCGGGAAGGAGCUCUAUUUGCAAAACUUUGA